GUUAGGAAUAUUGGACAAUGGGCGAAAGCCUGAUCCAGCCAUGCCGCGUGAACGAUGAAGGCCUUCGGGUUGUAAAGUUCUUUAGCCGAUGAUUAUAAUGACUGUAGUCGGAAAAUAAGCCCCGGCUAACUUCGUGCCAGCAGCCGCGGUAAUACGAAGGGGGCGAGCGUUAUUCGGAAUCACUGGGCGUAAAGCGUGCGUAGGCGGUUUUGUAAGUUAGGAGUGAAAGCCCAGGGCUCAACCUUGGAAUUGCUCUUAAAACUGCAAGGCUCGAAUCUCGGAGAGGAUAGCGGAAUUUCCAGUGUAGCAGUGAAAUGCGUAGAUAUUGGAAGGAACACCAGUGGCGUAAGCGGCUAUCUGGACCGAUAUUGACGCUGAGGCACGAAAGCGUGGGGAGCAAACAGGAUUAGAUACCCUUGUAGUCC
rnacentral:rRNA from 1 species